UACGUAGGGGGCAAGCGUUAUCCGGAAUUACUGGGUGUAAAGGGGGCGUAGACGGUAAUGUAAGUCUGGAGUGAAAGGCGGGGGCCCAACCCCCGGACUGCUCUGGAAACUAUGUUACUAGAGUGCAGGAGAGGUAAGCGGAAUUCCUAGUGUAGCGGUGAAAUGCGUAGAUAUUAGGAGGAACACCAGUGGCGAAGGCGGCUUACUGGACUGUAACUGACGUUGAGGCUCGAAAGCGUGGGGAGCAAACAGG
rnacentral:rRNA from 1 species